rnacentral:lncRNA from 1 species
CGUGGGUCUCCAGCCCUGCGGACCGCUGGCGAGGCGCUCCCCUGCACACACCGGACCGGCUCCUCCCUCCGCCGGCUUCCCCUCCUUAAAGGGGCCACGAAGCGUGGGGCGGCACCGGUUCCCUGCCCGCCCCCCGACUGCCCGCCCCCCGGGGCCCGGGCGCACCUCCCCAGGUAGGAGCAGCUGUGGCGGCGCGGUAGGAGCCCCACAGCGUCAGGGCGGGGAGGGCGCUUGGAGAUCCCCCGGGUCGGCCCCCUCCGCACCCCGAUCGACUGAGGCCCGGAGAGUUCAGGAACCGGCUCGGGAGACCUCAGCGCCCGAACUCGGAGUUUUCGGACUUUUCAGGCCUCUGCCAAGGGCUUGGACUCGCAGAUGGUGGAAAGCUGCACUUGAAGUCCAACUCUGUCCUGGGGGAAUAAUUAUGUUCCCUGUCUUGGGAGCCUUUCUUCAGGGAGCUUGAUGGUUCCAACCCACCCAGGAGCCUGGGACAUCUGUGCCCCUGGGCAAUCCCCUGCAGUUUCCUGAUUCCAAGAUGAGGGGGUAGAAUCCGAAGAUCUCCAAGGCCUUGAUGAGUGCUACCAGUCUGCAAAUUCCCAAGCCAAGUUCUUCAAUGAAUCAAAUUUCCUCCAGUAGCCAUUUCUACCAAAGGAGCAACUGUUUUUCCUUCCCACUGACAUGGCUAUGUAUUCGAACUGGAUAUAGGUGAGAGGCAUUUUUGUCCUAGCUUCUCGGGCCCCUCCAAGGAGCUCCAAGAGGCUUAAGGAUCCCAGCCAUGUUGGGAUAAAAAUACCCAAUCAAUCAAUAAACAUUUUAUUUAAAAAUGAUUUAUUUAAAAAAUCACACAAUUUGAGAGCAAAUACAGAAGAUAUGAAUUAGCAAAACGAACAAAAUUAAAAUCUCAUACAAUCGCAGGACACUGGGACCUGAAGUCUUGGAGAGGAUGUAAUCACUAAGUCAUCCCAAGGAAGAGUGGGAUGCCUACAAGAGAGGGAUGCCUACAAGAGAGGGAUGCCUAAAUUGGUUACCCCUAAGCCCACCGACUUUUAAGGCAUGUGUAAGUGAGUGGGAACCUGCAAAAAGACUGGAAGGAGCAGCCAGAGAGGUAGGAAGAAAACCAGGAGUGCCUGUUGUCACGGAAGCUGAGGGCAAGGAGGACAGUGGUUGGGAGAAUCUGAUGCAGCAGCUCCAAGGACCAUGGCCCCAGGAACUAGGCACAAGUGACAGGAGACACUUGCUAUGUCUAAACCCAGUGCACCCUCAGCCCGGCCUCGCCUUUUCAAGGACGGCUAGCACAGGCCAUCAUCCUGGCCCACGAUGAAGGUGAGCAUCAAACUCCAAUUUCUGAAGAGGAAACUGAAGACCAGAGAGGGGAGGUAAACAUCCCAAAGUCACCAGCAAGUCAGUGGGAGACACAACUUUAACCCUAGUUUUGACUGGCAGUCUGUGGGCAUCGAGGCCACCAUUCCAUGUACCUAAUGUGUGUCUGGCAGUGUUCCAGGCCUCACCUGCAUCAUUUCUAAUCCUCUCAACCAGAGGAUCAGAGAGGUGGCGUUUUUACCCCUAGUACACAGAGGAGGCGCUUGGGGUUCAGAGGCACGUGUGGAACUAGACCGACGCCACUCACCCCAGCAGGUGGCCAAGCGGGAUGGGAGCGCGGGUCUCCCCAUCCCCAGCGGUGACGGGCGGCGGCUCUUUCCUGAAGAAUGGGGCGGCGUCCGCAACGGGAACCGCUGGAGGCGCUCCCCGGGACCCUGGCCCGCCCUCGCCCCCGCGCAUGCCUGGCCGCUGAGGCGUGAGAGCCGCCGCCCGGGGCCUCCCCCCGCGCGCCUUGCACAACCGGCCCAGGUAAGUGCUGCGUCUCUGGGCAAUUAUCGCCCUCCCGCCGCCGGGGCUGGCCGCGCACAGGGCCCACGGCCAAGGCACUCGCAGCCACCCAAGGAGAGCUGCACGGUCUACGACGGCCGCCAGCGCGCGCGAUUUCACAAGGCCCGGGAGCGGGGACGGGGCGGGGCGGCGGGGGCGGUGACGUCACGCGCAGCCACGCCCCGCGGUUGCCCCGCCCCCGCGCUGGGCCGGGCCUGGGGAGGAAGCGAUGCGAGGCCACCUGUCCACCUGCGCCGCUUCGUCCUUCCUCCUCCUCCUCCCUGUCAGCUGUUUUUCUUUCUUCCCAUCUCCCAUCUCUUCCUUUUUAUCCCUCUCAUUCCUCCCUCUUUCCGUCCGUUUCCUUCUCCCUUCCCCAUCUCCUUCCUUUUAAUUUUCCUUUUCUCCUCCCUCCCGCCUUCCUUCUCUCUGCUUCCUUUCUCUUCCUCCCUCCCUCCUUCUCUUCCGCCUGCUUCCUUUCUUUCUCCUCUCUCUCCUUUCUUCCUUUCCUCCUCUCCUUUUUCUUUUUCUUUUAUUUUCUUUCUUU